GACACACAUAAAUGUGAGUAUUAAGCAUGAAAUAAUCGAUGUAUAAUGUGUGCUUUUCCGCCCAAAUUUAAUUUGUUUAUGAAGACUAUGUCUCCUGAUUUAAAUGGCUUAUUGCUUUUAAUUUUUAACUUAAUGCUUCUUAUAUUGGUUAGAAUAGAGAGUGACUUUAAUGUAGUAGCUACAGUUGCAGAAUUCUUUAAAAGCACAGGAAAAUUUAAGAAAAUUUUAAAUUACACAUUUAAAGCAUAACCUGGAACAAUUCAUUGUUAAUAACACACACGCACGCACGCACGCACACACACACACACACAUAUAUAAUACUUUGCAUUUUAAAAUCAACAUUUAAAAGUCAAAACGACACACUUUAAUUUUUUGAAUUGUAAUUUUCUGAACAUUAUCACCCACUCUCGUGAUUUUUGUGUUCACUCCCCCAAACAUUUUAAUAUUGCAUAUAAUUUUCGUGCAUCAGGGAGCUGCUAUCAAUAUGCGGAUUAUUAAAAUUUCUGUUGAAUGAGUGCUUAUCGUUUACUUUCACUUUCAAAUUCGCGGUCAUGCGCUCUGUGUAAAGGAAGAUCAGAUAUUUGUCAGUGAACUCAGUAUCUGUUCAGCAGCAACAGAUCUGUAGGAUUAAUUUUUUGACAUAUAUGUAGAAUAUUUGUUUCAUAUUUCAUGUGAUCUCAUUACAACUCUUCAAUAUUUUGCAGAUAACAGCUCUGGAUAUGGCUGGCCAGAAGACGAAUUUGACGAGGAAGAUGCUGAUACAUAUGAAGCUCCUCCAUGUGAACGUCCCACCAUUAAAGUCCAACCUCGCCAAGUAGAGGAGAAUGUUUACCUGGGUUAUCCAGAUCGAACCCCAAACCCUGUUAUUCCCAAAAGACAGGCAGCACCGCCGCCACGACCAGCCAAGAUCACCCCGACAGGGAAAAGCACGAAGCCAGAGCCGCCUCACGACGAGUUUUACAUCGACCCCAAUGACAGCAAACCGCCUGAGGUGAUACGCAAUGAUAAACCUGGUAAAAAAGCCCCUCCUAAGAGACCCCCGAUGAGACCCCCACCGGCCUCUCAGCAAGACGAAGAUGUUUACUUGGACCCAAAUGAAGGACAGGAAUAUGAUACCUAUCUAGCUCCUGUAGCAGAACCUCCUGCACCCCGAAGCCCGGCCCGCAUCCCUAUGCCUCCCAAAACUCUAGGACGAGACCUUCCACCGCAAAUAAUGAAGCCUCCUGUUCCCAGAGCCAAAUCUGUAAGUACUAGUUUGACACAUGCAUGCUUUCAUUACAGUGUUCUUCUCUCUUGA
rnacentral:lncRNA from 1 species